CAGCAGCCACGGUAAUACGGAGGGAGCUAGCGUUGUUCGGAAUUACUGGGCGUAAAGCGCACGUAGGCGGUUAUUCAAGUCAGAGGUGAAAGCCCGGGGCUCAACCCCGGAACUGCCUUUGAAACUAGAUGACUGGAAUCUUGGAGAGGUCAGUGGAAUUCCGAGUGUAGAGGUGAAAUUCGUAGAUAUUCGGAAGAACACCAGUGGCGAAGGCGACUGACAGGACAAGUAUUGACGCUGAGGUGCGAAAGCGUGGGGAGCAAACAGGAUUAGAUACCCCUGUAGUCCCUGUCUCUUAUAC
rnacentral:rRNA from 1 species